rnacentral:lncRNA from 1 species
UCCAGGCAGAAGUGCUGUGGGGGAGAACACGGGAGGAACUAAGGAACUUCCUAGUCACACAGCCCAUCACUGGCUGGGAAGGGAGGAGCAUCCACUCCCUUGGGGAAAUAGUAUGGUCCUCACUGGUUCUUAUGCGCAGCUGUCACAUGCAGGAGAUGUCCGAACGGUACAUUGUGCUGUUCCCCUUCCAGCUGUUGAUUCUAUCAGUGGAUCACAUGAAGAAGGCGUUUGUCUACCAGGGCCUGCUUCCGCUGGCGGGGAUGAGUGUGAGGGAUGUGCCGAGUGACACCGGCUGCAUGUUUGAAAUGAUGGGGCCCAUGAUAGAAUCCAGGAUCAUCUCAUGCCCGAGUCCAGCUGAAUUCCACAUCUGGGUUCUCAGCAUCCAGCAGCACAUCAAGAUGGCAAAUGCUCACUGUCCAGCCCACCCCAGCAGUAUCAUUCCUUUCCUGGUUCCAUGUGAUGAGCAGUGGAAGAAACGGAAGCUGAUGAAGCAUCUGUUUUACACCACCAUUCUGAAGUGGGAAGGGAAACCCAUCCAGCACCUAGGACGGAUACACUACCUGGCCAUGGUGCAGGUGGCUUAUGCCAGCAUGGGGGACUUUAAAGAGCGGCUGCUGGUGCUGUUUCCAGAGGAUCUGGUUUUCCUCUCCGUCGACAGAGAGAGAACCUGCAUUGCGUAUGAGGGAAAACUCCCUCUAGCUGGGAUCCAGGCAAAGGAGAAAUCUGCUGUGCUGGGGCGGCUGGAAUUUGAAAUCACCGGAAGCCUGACGGAACCGAUCCUGGUCACCUGCUGCACCGCUGAAGAUUAUGAAAAAUGCCUCUUCUACCUACAAAAGCCUGAGCAAAACCUUGACACGGUGACUGUCCAGCCACCACCCAUGGUGCCGAAGAAAUCGCUGCAGCGUUAGAACUAUGGAGCCUAUGGAAAAGGCCCAGUGACAGCGCUGACUGUAGGGGCCAAACUGAUGGCUAAGGAUGUUGGAGGAAGGAGCCCACCACUGGCAAAACUAGAGAUGGACCAGAAAUAACUUGAAUCCAAACCCCUCCAGACUGAGAAGGUUGAAUUGUGAGUCCUCCAUCUGAACCUACCCUGUGGGGUAUGGUCCCCAGCUGGACUCAUUCAUUUGUGCCCAGAUUAGCUGCUGUUCCCGAUGGCCUGUUGGAAUCCCCUGGAUAUAAUCCCGGUUGAUCAGACUCCUUGGGGAGGAAUCCUUCCUGGUUUGAUCACUUUAUUUAUUGGCUGCUGCUGCUUGGAGAGAGAAAUAACCUAAGGUAGUGUGUAAAUAGGAUGAAUAAAACCCAUCAGCCCAAAUCCA